GAUGGAUAGUGGGUGGAGAGGUGAUGGAUGGAUGGAUGGAUGGAUGAUAGAUAAUGGAUGGAGAGAUGAUGGAUAGUGGGUGGAGAGGUGAUGGAUGGAUGGAUGGAUGGAUGGAUGAUAGAUAAUGGAUGGAGAGAUGAUGGAUAGUGGGUGGAGAGGUGAUGGAUGGAUGGAUGGAUGGAUGGAUGAUAGAUAAUGGAUGGAGAGAUGAUGGAUAGUGGGUGGAGAGGUGAUGGAUGGAUGGAUGGAUGGAUGGAUGAUAGAUAAUGGAUGGAGAGAUGAUUGAUGGAUGGAUGAAUGGAUAGAUGGAUGCUAGAUAAUGGAUGGAUGGAUGGAUAGAUGAUGGAUAAUGGAUAGAGAGGUGAUGGAUGGAUGGAUGGAUGAUGGAUAAUGGAUAGAGAGGUGAUGGAUGGAUGGAUAGAUGGAUGAUAGAUAAUGAAUGGAGAGAUGAUGGAUAGAUGGAUGGAUGGAUGGAUGGAUGGGUAAUGGAUGGAGAGAUGAUGAUGGAUGAUGGAUGGGUAGAUGGAUGAUGGAUAAUGUAUUGAGAGAUGAUGGAUGGAUGGAUGGAUGGAUGUUGCAUAAUGGAUAGAUAGAUAAUGAAUGGAUGAAGGGUGGAGGGAUGGAUGAUGGAUAAUGGAUGGAGAGAUGAUGGAUGGUUGGAUGGAUGGGUGGAUGAUGGAUGGAAGGAUGAUAGAUGAUAGAUGGAGAGAUGAUGGAUGGAUGAUGGAUAAUAGAAGGAGAGAUGAUGGAUGGAUGAUGGAUAAUGAAUGGAGAGCUGAUGGAUGGAUGGAUGAUGGAUGGAUGAUGGAUGGGUGGUUUUCUAACUCAGAUCCCUCCCCCUCAAUUAAGUCUGUCACAGUUAUCUUCACUUAACCUCUGUCCUUGUUCUCUGUGACUUUAACAACCAUCUGGUUCCCUGGCCUCUGGAUUCCUUGUUCCCUUCCUGGCCUCCUCUCAGUUCUCUGGCCUCCAAACCUGGACAGACUCGUAGCUUCCGCCCACCUCAGGACCGCUCCUCCUGCCAGCAUGCCCACCACGACCACCGACUUCUAUGGAUGAGGCAGCGCCUUCUUGCUCCUGCUGGCUAACCAGGACUCCCCAGCCACACCUGAGAGCUGUCGCCACUUCUUCUCAGGGUCAACCCUGCUGGGCACAGCUCACCUCCUACUUCUCUGGCUGCCGUUUCUCAGUCAGCAGCAGCAGCUAUCCCAGGAUCUCUGAAUGUGGGCACUCCACUUCUCAGACUGUCCCUGAUGGCCCCGUGCAUGCCUGCCACUCCAAGGCCACCUGGGUUGGGGGCCCCGUAAGUGGGAGCACCACCUAGAGAGUGUGCUUCCUCCUGGACGGCACUUCAGCCCCACUCAGGGGUUCAGCCUCAUGGCAAACCAAGCUCUGCUUUUGGUCUUUCUUAUUUAUUUAUUGGUACCAGGAUCAAACCCAGGAGCACUUACCCACUGAACCACAUCCCCAGCCCCUUGUAUUUACUUAUUUA
rnacentral:lncRNA from 1 species